AAUUGUUAUUUUAUCCCCACUUUACAAAUGAGGACUUGAGGCAUAAUGAGGUUGUGACUCACCCAAGGUCACAGCCAUCAGAGGGUUGAAAUGGGACUAGAACAGAGGUUUCCCCAUUCCUGGGCUCUUUUCACCAAUCCAUUCUGUUACCCAUAUUCUCAGCUUGAGCAGAGCCUCAUAUUCAAGGAAGGGCGGGUACUCUCUCCUAAGGAACCUUCUCGACACUUGCCUGAGCUUCCACCCAGAAACCUGGGACAUGUCCCCUCACAAACAUGAGGUCUCUGUCAGGCCCUUGAGACAGCUGAUGUUCUGGUGAUCCUUCACUGACCUGGAUGUAGCUGCAAUGCCGGUGCUGGAGGUACAGGGCCAAAUCCUGUCUUCAUGCUCCAUAAUGCCAACAGGUCUCCCUCGGGCAGCAUUGGUCGGAGUCUGUGACGCAAGACCCUUCGUCCAGGUGGUGCAGAUUGAGGAUGACGGGGCAGGGACUCCGCAAGCAAGAGUGACUCCAACCUACCCCUACUGACCCUCAAUGGUCCCCACUCUCCACCUCCCGCCGCCACCACCACCAGUGUGAGAACAAGUAAAGCCUGCGCCUGGGAAGCAGCGUGGAUUAGUGCAAAGAGAACGGGCUUGGGAGUCAGAGGAUGUAGGUUCUAAU